UAUACCAUUCACAUAUAUAGUUUAUGUGUCUUCAUUCUCAUCCACCUCUAUGUGUUGUAUGAAUAUUUUCUCCCAAAACACAUAAAGGUGCUUCUAAUGGAUUCCAUAGAAGGGAAUCAUUACGAGAAAACAGAAACAAAUCCUAAGAUUCUCUUGCAAAAUAGCAUCAUUUUGCUUCUUUCUCAAUGGUAUGCCCUUCAAAUGGCUGUCCAAAAUCAAUGGGGUGGUUAUGAUUCUCUUCAAAAAUCACACCAACUUGCUACCGAUUUAUUUUUAUGGUUCUCCAAAUCCAAUGCACCAACUCCGGUUGAAGAUUUAGAAAACCUACUUCAUGAAUCUAUGUUGCUUACAUUCAACACUGAGAUAGAAGAUGGCAGCAUUGAACAGGUAGCAGAACAAUUGUUGGCUAUCCAUGAAGAGUAUUUGUUUUGCCACUCAUCUUGAUAUUUGAAAGAACUACACUUUUGAAGUGGCCAAAAAGUUCUACUUGGCAGACACGUGACUAUGGUUGCGGAUGGUAAUUGUCAGUGUUAUAUUAUUAAAGGAAGACAAAUUAACGAGAUGGUGGAGGAAGUAAGAAGGAAGAAAAGGAAAUGUCAAAUGUUCAAGGUUGAUUUCGAAAAGGCCUACGACUCUGUGAGUUGGUCCUUUCUAUAAUUUGUGAUGUAUAAGAUGAGAUUUCUUACUUUACGAUGUACCUAGAUCGUAGAAUGCCUAAAAACAUCUAGAAUUUCCGUCUUAGUAAAUGAUAGUCCAAUAGAAGAAUUUGUUGUAUCAAAGGGGUUGCGUUUCUAUUGACUCCUUUCUUAAUUUGUUGUA